CACGACAAGCACCAUCAUCACAACCACCACACCCAAGUGGAUUCACCAAAACCAUCUCAAAGUAGAUCUAAUCAGAGCCGAAGAUAACGUUGCAGCUGCUGAAAACCAUGGCAGCAUGAAAACUACCCCAAGCUACUGGGUCGUAAUGUCGAUGCUCUCAGAUCUUCAAACACUGGGAUGAUUCCGCCACUGCAGCUUGCUUCGUCUGUGUUGUGUGUGUGUGUUCUAGAUCAUGUCUGGAGUGUUGCGAUCACAACGCCGACAUAGUCUCCAAUGAUGGUUUCCUAAUGUUCACGCAAUGACGAUGACGAU
rnacentral:lncRNA from 1 species